GUAGGUGGCAAGCGUUGUCCGGGAAUUAUUGGGGCGUAAAGCGCGCGCAGGCGGUUCUUUAAGUCUGAUGUGAAAGCCCACGGGCUCAACCGUGGAGGGUCAUUGGAAACUGGAGAACUUGAGUACAGAAGAGGGAAGCGGAAUUCCACGUGUAGCGGUGAAAUGCGUAGAGAUGUGGAGGAACACCAGUGGCGAAGGCGGCUUUCUGGUCUGUAACUGACGCUGAGGCGCGAAAGCGUGGGGAGCAAACAGGAUUAGAUACCCUGGUAGUCCACGCCGUAAACGAUGAGUGCUAAGUGUUAGGGGGUUUCCGCCCCUUAGUGCUGCAGCUAACGCAUUAAGCACUCCGCCUGGGGAGUACGGCCGCAAAGGCUG
rnacentral:rRNA from 1 species